UGAGUACGAGACGCUAAGGCGUUGAAGCAGUCUAUGUCAGACUUCCAAGAAAAGCUCGCAAUGUCAUAAACAACAAAUGCCUGUACCAUAACCGACACAGGUGGGUAGGUAGAGUAUACUAAGGGGCGCGAGAUAACUCUCUCUAAGGAACUCGGCAAAAUGACUCCGUAACUUCGGGAGAAGGAGUGCCUUCUUGGAGAAGGUUGCAAUAACAAGAUCCAAGCAACUGUUUACCAAAAACACAGGUCUCCGCUAAGUCGUAAGACGAUGUAUGGGGGCUGACGCCUGCCCAGUGCCAGAAGGUUAAAGAAGUUGGUUAGCCUAGCGAAGCUGAUGACUGAAGCCCUGGUGAACGGCGGCCGUAACCAUAACGGUCCUAAGGUAGCGAAAUUCCUUGUCGGGUAAGUUCCGACCCGCACGAAAGGCGUAAUGAUUUGGAUACUGUCUCGGAGAGGGGCUCGGUGAAAUAGACUUGUCUGUGAAGAUGCGGACUACCUGCACCUGGACAGAAAGACCCUAUGAAGCUUUACUGUAACUUGAGAUUGAAAUUGGACUUUAUUUGCGCAGUAUAGGUGGGAGACUUUGAGAAUAUUCUUGCGGGAAUAUUGGAGUCAUCAGUGAGAUACCACUCUUGUAAUGUUAGAUUUCUAACUUUGGAUCAUUAUCUGGUCAAAGGACAGUUUCAGGCGGGCAGUUUGACUGGGGCGGUCGCCUCCCAAACGGUAACGGAGGCGCACAAAGGUUUCCUCUGAACGUGUAGAAAUCGUAUCUAGAGUGUAAAGGCAUAAGGAAGCUUGACUGUGAGACCUACAAGUCGAGCAGGGACGAAAGUCGGUCUUAGUGAUCUGACGGUGCUGAGUGGAAAGGCCGUCACUCAACGGAUAAAAGUUACUCUAGGAUAACAGGCUGAUCUCCCCCAAGAGUUCACAUCGACGGGGAGGUUUGGCACCUUGAUGUCGGCUCAUCGCAUCCUGGGGCGGUAGUACGUCCCAAGGGUUGGGCUGUUCGCCCAUGAAAGCGGUACGCGAGCUGGGUUCAGAACGUCGUGAGACAGUUCGGUCCAUAUCCGGUGUAGGCGUUAGAAUAUUGAGAGGAGCCUUCUUUAGUACGAGAGGACCGAGAAGGACAUACCUCUGGUGUACCAGUUAUCGUGCCAACGGUAAACGCUGGGUAGCUAUGUAUGGAGUGGAUAACCGCUGAAAGCAUCUAAGUGGGAAGCCCACCUCAAGAUAAG
rnacentral:rRNA from 1 species